rnacentral:rRNA from 1 species
UGGGGAAUAUUGCACAAUGGGCGCAAGCCUGAUGCAGCCAUGCCGCGUGUAUGAAGAAGGCCUUCGGGUUGUAAAGUACUUUCAGCGGGGAGGAAGGCGAUGCGGUUAAUAACCGCGUCGAUUGACGUUACCCGCAGAAGAAGCAUCGGCUAACUCCGUGCCAGCAGCCGCGGUAAUACGGAGGGUGCAAGCGGUAAUCGGAAUUACUGGGCGGAAAGCGCACGCAGGCGGUCUGUCAAGUCGGAUGUGAAAUCCCCGGGCUCAACCUGGGAACUGCAUCCGAAACUGGCAGGCUUGAGUCUCGUAGAGGGGGGUAGAAUUCCAGGUGUAGCGGUGAAAUGCGUAGAGAUCUGGAGGAAUACCGGUGGCGAAGGCGGCCCCCUGGACGAAGACUGACGCUCAGGUGCGAAAGCGUGGGGAGCAAACA